GUGGGGAAUUUUGGACAAUGGGCGCAAGCCUGAUCCAGCAAUGCCGCGUGCAGGAAGAAGGCCUUCGGGUUGUAAACUGCUUUUGUACGGAACGAAACGGUCCUGGCUAAUACCUGGGGCUAAUGACGGUACCGUAAGAAUAAGCACCGGCUAACUACGUGCCAGCAGCCGCGGUAAUACGUAGGGUGCGAGCGUUAAUCGGAAUUACUGGGCGUAAAGCGUGCGCAGGCGGUGCUGUAAGACAGGCGUGAAAUCCCCGGGCUCAACCUGGGAAUUGCGCUUGUGACUGCAGUGCUGGAGUGCGGCAGAGGGGGAUGGAAUUCCGCGUGUAGCAGUGAAAUGCGUAGAUAUGCGGAGGAACACCGAUGGCGAAGGCAAUCCCCUGGGCCUGCACUGACGCUCAUGCACGAAAGCGUGGGGAGCAAACAGGAUUAGAUACCCUAGUAGUCC
rnacentral:rRNA from 1 species